UGCGUAGGCGGAUUAAUAAGUCAGUGGUGAAAACCUCCAGCUUAACUGGAGACUUGCCAUUGAUACUGUUAGUCUUGAGUACGGUCAAGGUAGGCGGAAUGUGUAAUGUAGCGGUGAAAUGCUUAGAUAUUACACAGAACACCGAUUGCGAAGGCAGCUUACUGGGCCAUUACUGACGCUGAGGCACGAAAGCGUGGGGAGCGAACAGGAUUAGAUACCCUGGUAGUCC
rnacentral:rRNA from 1 species